UUUCCGUAGGUGAACCUGCGGAGGGAUCAUUACAGAGUUCAUGCCCUACCGGGUAGAUCUCCCACCCUAUGUUAUUAUUACUUUGUUGCUUUGGCGGGCCGUUAGGCUCCGGCCCGACUACCGGCCCCGGCUGGUAAGCGCCCGCCAGAGGACCCAAAACCCUGAAUAUUAGUGUCGUCUGAGUACUAUAUAAUAGUUAAAACUUUCAACAACGGAUCUCUUGGAUCUG
rnacentral:misc_RNA from 1 species